UACGGGGGGAGCAAGCGUUGCUCGGAUUUACUGGGCGUAAAGGGCGCGUAGGCGGUCAGCACAAGUCAGUUGUGAAAUCUCCGGGCUUAACUCGGAAAGGUCAACUGAUACUGUGCGACUAGAGUGCAGAAGGGGCAACUGGAAUUCUCGGUGUAGCGGUGAAAUGCGUAGAUAUCGAGAGGAACACCUGCGGCGAAGGCGGGUUGCUGGGCUGACACUGACGCUGAGGCGCGAAAGCGUGGGGAGCAAACAGG
rnacentral:rRNA from 1 species